rnacentral:rRNA from 1 species
AGCGAACGCUGGCGGCAGGCCUAACACAUGCAAGUCGAACGAAGUCUUCGGACUUAGUGGCGGACGGGUGAGUAACACGUGGGAACGUACCUUUUGGUCCGGAACAACUCAGGGAAACUUGAGCUAAUACCGGAUGAGCCCUUAGGGGGAAAGAUUUAUCGCCGAAAGAGCGGCCCGCGUUAGAUUAGCUAGUUGGUGAGGUAAAGGCUCACCAAGGCUACGAUCUAUAGCUGGUCUGAGAGGAUGAUCAGCCACACUGGGACUGAGACACGGCCCAGACUCCUACAGGAGGCAGCAGUGGGGAAUCUUGCGCAAUGGGCGAAAGCCUGACGCAGCCAUGCCGCGUGAAUGAUGAAGGUCUUAGGAUUGUAAAAUUCUUUUACCAGGGACGAUAAUGACGGUACCUGGAGAAAAAGCCCCGGCUAACUUCGUGCCAGCCGCCGCAGUAACAC